UUACGGCCACACCAUACUGAAACACUGGCUCUCGUGCGAUCAUCAAAGUUAAGCAACGUCGAGUCUGGUCAGUACCUAGAUGGGUGCUCGCUUGGGAAGACCAGAUGCUGUAA